rnacentral:rRNA from 1 species
AGGAUCAAGCCGCACGGGCAAUUAGUACUGGUUAGCUGAACGCAUUACUGCGCUUCCACACCCAGCCUAUCAACGUCCUGGUCUCGAACGACCCUUCAGGGAGAUCAAGUCUCCAGGGAAUCCUCAUCUUCAGGCGAGUUUCCCGCUUAGAUGCUUUCAGCGGUUAUCUCUUCCGUACAUAGCUACCCUGCGAUGCCUCUGGCGAGACAACAGGUACACCAGCGGUACGUCCACUCCGGUCCUCUCGUACUAGGAGCAGCCCCCGUCAAGAUUCCAACGCCCACGGCAGAUAGGGACCAAACUGUCUCACGACGUUUUAAACCCAGCUCACGUACCUCUUUAAAUGGCGAACAGCCAUACCCUUGGGACCGGCUACAGCCCCAGGAUGAGAUGAGCCGACAUCGAGGUGCCAAACACCGCCGUCGAUAUGAACUCUUGGGCGGUAUCAGCCUGUUAUCCCCAGAGUACCUUUUAUCCGUUGAGCGAUGGCCCUUCCAUACAGAACCACCGGAUCACUAUGUCCUGCUUUCGCACCUGCUCGACUUGUCGGUCUCGCAGUUAAGCACGCUUUUGCCAUUGCACUUUAGGUACGAUGUCCGACCGUACCAAGCGUACCUUCGAACUCCUCCGUUACACUUUGGGAGGAGACCGCCCCAGUCAAACUGCCUACCAUGCACUGUCCCCGACCCGGAUUCACGGGCCAAGGUUAGAACCUCAAACAAACCAGGGUGGUAUUUCAAGGUCGGCUCCACCGAAACUAGCGUCCCGGUUUCAAAGCCUCCCACCUAUCCUACACAGAUCGGUUCAAAGUCCAAUGCAAAGCUACAGUAAAGGUUCAUGGGGUCUUUCCGUCUAGCCGCGGGGAGAUUGCAUCAUCACAAACACUUCAACUUCGCUGAGUCUCGGGAGGAGACAGUGUGGCCAUCGUUACGCCAUUCGUGCAGGUCGGAACUUACCCGACAAGGAAUUUCGCUACCUUAGGACCGUUAUAGUUACGGCCGCCGUUUACCGGGACUUCAAUCAAGAGCUUGCACCCCAUCAUUUAAUCUUCCGGCACCGGGCAGGCGUCACACCCUAUACGUCCACUUUCGUGUUUGCAGAGUGCUGUGUUUUUAUUAAACAGUCGCAGCCACCAUUUUAUUGCAACCCCUUCAUCCUUCUGGCGCGAGCCAGUCAAACUACAAGGGCGUACCUUAUCCCGAAGUUACGGUACCAAUUUGCCGAGUUCCUUCUCCCGAGUUCUCUCAAGCGCCUUAGAAUACUCAUCUCGCCCACCUGUGUCGGUUUGCGGUACGGUCUCGUAUGACUGAAGCUUAGAGGCUUUUCUUGGAACCACUUCCAAUUGCUUCGCGACCUAACGUCGCUCGCCCCACACCCUUGAAUCACGCACCCGGAUUUGCCUAAGUGCCAUCUCCAAUGUAGGGACCGGGACUUCCAACACCCGGACAACCUUCCGCGAUCCGUCCCCCCAUCGCAUCAUACGACGGUGCAGGAAUAUUAACCUGCUUCCCAUCAGCUACGCAUCUCUGCCUCGCCUUAGGGGCCGACUCACCCUACGCCGAUGAACGUUGCGUAGGAAACCUUGGGCUUACGGCGAGGGGGCCUUUCACCCCCUUUAUCGCUACUCAUGUCAGCAUUCGCACUUCUGAUACCUCCAGCAUCCUUUACAAGACACCUUCACAGGCUUACAGAACGCUCUCCUACCAUGCACUUACGUGCAUCCGCAGCUUCGGUGACUGGCUUAGCCCCGUUACAUCUUCCGCGCAGGACGACUCGAUCAGUGAGCUAUUACGCUUUCUUUAAAGGGUGGCUGCUUCUAAGCCAACCUCCUGACUGUUUUAGCCUUCCCACUUCGUUUCCCACUUAGCCAAUCUUAGGGACCUUAGCUGGCGGUCUGGGUUGUUUCCCUCUUGACACCGGACGUUAGCACCCGAUGUCUGUCUCCCGUGAUUGCACUCUUCGGUAUUCGGAGUUUGCUAUGGCGGGGUAAUCAGCAAUAGACCCCCCAACCAUGACAGUGCUCUACCCCCGAAGGUGAGACACGAGGCACUACCUAAAUAGUUUUCGGAGAGAACCAGCUAUUUCCAAGUUUGUUUAGCCUUUCACCCCUAUCCACAGCUCAUCCCCUAACUUUUCAACGUUAGUGGGUUCGGUCCUCCAGUACGUGUUACCGCACCUUCAACCUGGCCAUGGAUAGAUCACUUGGUUUCGGGUCUACACCCAGCGACUGAACGCCCUAUUCGGACUCGCUUUCGCUACGCCUUCCCUAAUCGGUUAAGCUUGCCACUGAAUGUAAGUCGCUGACCCAUUAUACAAAAGGUACGCCGUCACCCGUUUCCAGGCUCCGACUGUUUGUAUGCAUGCGGUUUCAGGAUCUAUUUCACUCCCCUCCCGGGGUUCUUUUCGCCUUUCCCUCACGGUACUGGUUCACUAUCGGUCGAUCACGAGUAUUUAGCCUUGGAGGAUGGUCCCCCCAUCUUCAGACAGGAUUUCACGUGUCCCGCCCUACUUGUCGUACACCUAGUUCCACAAUACUGUUUUCGCGUACGGGGCUAUCACCCACUAUGGCCGGACUUUCCAUUCCGUUCCGCUAACAAUACUGCUAAAGAGUACAAGGCUGUUCCCAUUUCGCUCGCCACUACUUUGGGAAUCUCGGUUGAUUUCUUUUCCUGCAGCUACUUAGAUGUUUCAGUUCACUGCGUUCGCCUCCCUUGCCUAUGUAUUCAGCAAGGGAUGACCCAUACGGGCCGGGUUUCCCCAUUCGGACAUCUGCGGAUCAAAGCUCGUUUGCCAGCUCCCCGCAGCUUUUCGCAAGCUACUACGUCCUUCAUCGCCUGUGAUCGCCAAGGCAUCCACCACAUGCACUUAUUCGCUUGACC